GACGAACGCUGGCGGCGUGCUUAACACAUGCAAGUCGAACGGAAAGGCCCUGCUUUUGUGGGGUGCUCGAGUGGCGAACGGGUGAGUAACACGUGAGUAACCUGCCCUUGACUUUGGGAUAACUUCAGGAAACUGGGGCUAAUACCGGAUAGGAGCUCCUGCUGCAUGGUGGGGGUUGGAAAGUUUCGGCGGUUGGGGAUGGACUCGCGGCUUAUCAGCUUGUUGGUGGGGUAGUGGCUUACCAAGGCUUUGACGGGUAGCCGGCCUGAGAGGGUGACCGGCCACAUUGGGACUGAGAUACGGCCCAGACUCCUACGGGAGGCAGCAGUGGGGAAUAUUGCACAAUGGGCGGAAGCCUGAUGCAGCAACUCCGCGUGCGGGAUGACGGCCUUCGGGUUGUAAACCGCUUUCGCCUGUGACGAAGCGUGAGUGACGGUAAUGGGUAAAGAAGCACCGGCGAACUACGU
rnacentral:rRNA from 1 species